rnacentral:rRNA from 2 species
GACGAACGCUGGCGGCGUGCUUAACACAUGCAAGUCGAACGAUGAAAGAGAAUCCGAUCUCUUCGGAGUGAAGAAUCUCUGGAUUAGUGGCGGACGGGUGAGUAACGCGUGAGCAAUCUGCCUUACACAAAGGGAUAGCCUCGGGAAACCGGGAUUAAUACCAUAUGAUAUCUAUUAACCGCAUGGUUUAUAGAUUAAAGAAUUUCGGUGUAAGAUGAGCUCGCGUCCCAUUAAUUAGUUGGUGAGGGUAACGGCCCACCAAGAUAGCGAUGGGUAGCCGAUCUAAGAGGAUGACCGGCCACAUUGGAACUGAGAAACGGUCCAAACUCCUACGGGAGGCAGCAGUGGGGAAUAUUGCACAAUGGGGGAAACCCUGAUACAGCGACGCCGCGUGAGCGAUGAAGGCUUUCGAGUCGUAAAGCUCUGUCCUAUGGGAAGAUAAUGACGGUACCAUAGAAGAAAGCCCCGGCUAAUUACGUGCCAGCAGCCGCGGUAA